rnacentral:snRNA from 1 species
UCAGCUCUCUUUGCCACUUGGCUUAGAUUGACGGCAGUGUGCCUAAACUGCGGGUGACUCCGUAGUUGCGUUCCACGGAGCGUGUUCGACUAUGGUCCCCCAAAUUUUUGGAGUCCGGACUAAGGCCGCUGAGCUCGCUCAUGUCUUGGACCACAGUGUCGCCAGUAUUGCACUGUCUCUGGCUGACGCGAACGUUG